ACGGGUGAGUAACGCGUAGGUAUCUAUCCUCGGGUGGGGGACAACCACGGGAAACUGUGGCUAAUACCGCAUGAUGACUGAGGUCCAAAGGCGCAAGUCGCCUGGGGAGGAGCCUGCGUCCGAUUAGCUUGUUGGUGGGGUAAUGGCCUACCAAGGCUCCGAUCGGUAGCUGGUCUGAGAGGAUGAUCAGCCACACUGGGACUGAGACACGGCCCAGACUCCUACGGGAGGCAGCAGUGGGGAAUAUUGGACAAUGGGCGAAAGCCUGAUCCAGCAAUGCCGCGUGGGUGAAGAAGGUCUUCGGAUUGUAAAGCCCUUUCGGCGGGGACGAUGAUGACGGUACCCGCAGAAGAAGCCCCGGCUAACUUCGUGCCAGCAGCCGCGG
rnacentral:rRNA from 1 species